rnacentral:rRNA from 1 species
CCCGGAAAUUUUGGCUCAUGAUGAGCCUAUGUUAGAUUAGCUAGUUGGUGGGGUAAUGGCCUACCAAGGCAGUGAUCUAUAGCUGGUCUGAGAGGAUGAUCAGCCACACUGGAACUGAGACACGGUCCAGACUCCUACGGGAGGCAGCAGUGGGGAAUAUUGGACAAUGGGCGCAAGCCUGAUCCAGCUAUGCCGCGUGAGUGAGGAAGGCCUUAGGGUUGUAAAACUCUUUCAGUAGGGAGGGUAGUAGACGGUACAAC